AUUGAACGCUGGCGGCAUGCCUAACACAUGCAAGUCGAGCGGAAGAAGGGAGCUGGCUCCUGGCUUCAGCGGCGGGCGGGUGUGUUAUACCUAAGAAUGUCCCUGCGUGGGGGGUAUAACGUCCGGAGAUGGGCGCUAAUACCGCACACGCCCUGGGGGAGAACGGGGGGGCGCUUGGGAUCUCACGCUAUCAGCUGCGCCUAGGUGGGAUUGGCGAGUUGGGGGGGUAAAGGCCCACCAACGCGACUAUCCGUAACUGCUGUGAGAGUGUGAGCAGUCACACUGGAACUGAGACACGGGCCAGACUCCUACGGGAGGGAGCAGUGGGGAAUAUUGGACAAUGGGCGAAAGCCUGAUCCAGACAUGCCGCGUGUGUGAAGAAGGUCUUCGGAUUGUAAAGCACUUUUUGUUGGGAGGAAAAGAAGUAAGUUAAUACCCUGCUGGUUUGACGUUACCAACAGAAUAAGCGCCGGCUAACUUCGUG
rnacentral:rRNA from 1 species